AAUCCAUGCAUCGGACAUUUCUUAAUUAACUCCUUAAAUCGCUCCCACGCUUCAUAUAGUGUUUCAUCUUCAAACUGCCGAAAGGAUGUAAUAUCAUUUCUCAACUU
rfam:Gossypium raimondii Chr05_contig_550, whole genome shotgun sequence.